GAGUUUGAUCCUGGCUCAGGAUGAACGCUGGCGGCGUGCUUAACACAUGCAAGUCGAACGGAGUACCCCUGAAGGAGUUUUCGGACAACUGAUGGGACUACUUAGUGGCGGACGGGUGAGUAACGCGUGAGUAACCUGCCUUGGAGUGGGGAAUAACAGCUGGAAACAGCUGCUAAUACCGCAUAAUAUGUCUGUGUCGCAUGGCACUGGACAUCAAAGAUUUAUCGCUCUGAGAUGGACUCGCGUCUGAUUAGCUAGUUGGCGGGGUAACGGCCCACCAAGGCGACGAUCAGUAGCCGGACUGAGAGGUUGGCCGGCCACAUUGGGACUGAGACACGGCCCAGACUCCUACGGGAGGCAGCAGUGGGGAAUAUUGGGCAAUGGGCGCAAGCCUGACCCAGCAACGCCGCGUGAAGGAAGAAGGCUUUCGGGUUGUAAACUUCUUUUCUCAGGGACGAAGCAAGUGACGGUACCUGAGGAAUAAGCCACGGCUAACUACGUGCCAGCAGCCGCGGUAAUACGUAGGUGGCAAGCGUUAUCC
rnacentral:rRNA from 1 species